rnacentral:rRNA from 1 species
UACGGAGGGGGUUAGCGUUGUUCGGAAUGACUGGGCGUAAAGCGCGCGUAGGCGGACCUGCAAGUCGGGGGUGAAAGCCCGAGGCUCAACCUCGGAACUGCCUUCGAUACUGCGGGUCUCGAGUCCGGGAGAGGUGAGUGGAAUUCCUAGUGUAGAGGUGAAAUUCGUAGAUAUUAGGAAGAACACCAGUGGCGAAGGCGGCUCACUGGCCCGGUACUGACGCUGAGGCGCGAAAGCGUGGGGAGCAAACAGG